GACGAACGCUGGCGGCGUGCUUAACACAUGCAAGUCGAACGGAAAGGCCCUGCUUUUGUGGGGUGCUCGAGUGGCGAACGGGUGAGUAACACGUGAGUAACCUGCCCUUGACUUUGGGAUAACUUCAGGAAACUGGGGCUAAUACCGGAUAGGAGCUCCUGCUGCAUGGUGGGGGUUGGAAAGUUUCGGCGGUUGGGGAUGGACUCGCGGCUUAUCAGCUUGUUGGUGGGGUAGUGGCUUACCAAGGCUUUGACGGGUAGCCGGCCUGAGAGGGUGACCGGCCACAUGGACUGAGAUACGGCCCAGACUCCUACGGGAGGCAGCAGUGGGGAAUAUUGCACAAUGGGCGGAAGCCUGAUGCAGCAACGCCGCGUGCGGGAUGACGGCCUUCGGGUUGUAAACCGCUUUCGCCUGUGACGAAGCGUGAGUGACGGUAAUGGGUAAAGAAGCACCGGCUAACUACGUG
rnacentral:rRNA from 1 species